rnacentral:lncRNA from 1 species
UUGUUUGUGGCUGGAAUAGUAACUGCAUCUUGUGAUGAAUUUUUGUGUGCACUUGUGUUGUUGGGAAAUGAAGAUUGAGAUUGAGAUUGAGAAGUUGCAUUGGUAGAUCUAGUUGUGGAAGUGUUGUUUUGAAAUGGAUCAAGAGGAUUGGUUGUGUUGUUGAGAGUUUGUGGAGUGGUGGUGUUUGGGAAAAAGUAUGAGAAAAUGGAGGAAAAUUGAGAAGUGGAAAAACUAGGUGUUGGGGAAAUUGUUGUGGUGGAAGAAGGGGAAAAAGCUAGGAAGAGAGUGAAAGCAAUGAAAAUGAGCAUAAAAGCAUAAGCAAAAGCGAUGGUGGUUUUGGUUUUGAGAAUGGAGAAGAGGUUUUUGAAGUCGAGUUUGUGGAAGUUGUUAGGAGUGGUGGUAGUUGUGGCUAUGGGGGUGUAUUUGGUGGUGUCAGCCAUGGAAGUUGGAGUUUGAAAGGGUUGUUUUGAAGAUGGGAGAGAUCUAGAG